rnacentral:rRNA from 1 species
UACGUAGGGUGCGAGCGUUAAUCGGAAUUACUGGGCGUAAAGCGUGCGCAGGCGGUUUUAUAAGCCAGAUGUGAAAUCCCCGGGCUUAACCUGGGAACUGCAUUUGUGACUGUAAGACUAGAGUGCGGCAGAGGGGGGUAGAAUUCCACGUGUGAGCAGUGAAAUGACGUAGAUAUGUGGAGGAAUACCGAUGGCGAAGGCAGCCCCCUGGGUCCGACACUGACGCUCCAUGCACGAAAGCGUGGGGAGCAAACAGGAUUAGAAACCCCGA